UCUUUUUGUGGAAUUGAUUUUCUGUUCUUUGUCGUUUUUGGAUUUCUUCUUUUACUACAUGAAAUCCACACUGAAGAAACGGAUAAAAAUCAUACAUAUUCGCCUGCAAAUUUUAGCAUCGCAGAAGAUUUUGAAAAACAACUUGAAUUUCUCAACACUACCGUUGCAAACUUGGCAUUAGAAACAUUAAACUGCACUUUCACAAUUGAGGACAAUGGCCAACUAACAACUGUUGUAGACAAGACAAGAGAAGAGAUUGAAAGCGAAGGGAAGAAAAUACUUGAAGAGAAUUGUACAGCUGAGGUGGAACUUGAGAGAAGACUCAGUUACGGUGCACUGGCAAGUCUUACAAGCGUUUAAAUAUAAUCUUUAAAAAGCCUUAUUAUGCAAUUGUCAAUUCAUUAACUAUUAUUUGUAGUUAGUUUUCAAUACGCUAGGUAAUUUCUCAAUUCUUUAAACAGGUAAAUAAAUUUAUUUGCGAAAAGUGAA
rnacentral:misc_RNA from 1 species